GGAUGUGAGGGUGGUCUGGCUGUGACAUCUGUCACCACAUUGAUCUCCAGUGUUGAUUUGGCUGAUCUGGCUGGCUAGGUGGGUGUCCUAUUUGUCCCUCACCGCUCCAUGUGUGUCCCUCUCAAAGCUGCUUGCUCGGUGGAAGAGGACAACAUCCCAGGUAUAGAAGGAGUGUACCAAGGUCUCCAGCCUUCGAUCUCGCGUAUAAAAUAGCAGUGUUCCCCUGCUAGAACCUCCAAACAAGCUUCCUCAGAAGUUCUGGACUUCUGAGGAGACAGUCCAGACAGCAGUCUUACAUUUUUCUGGGCUUUGUCAGCUCAGAA
rnacentral:snRNA from 1 species